rnacentral:rRNA from 1 species
AUUGAACGCUGGCGGAAUGCUUUACACAUGCAAGUCGAACGGCAGCACGGGUGCUUGCACCUGGUGGCGAGUGGCGAACGGGUGAGUAAUGUAUCGGAACGUAUCCAAUAAUGGGGGAUAACUAAUCGAAAGGUUGGCUAAUACCGCAUACGCCCUACGGGGGAAAGCAGGGGAUCUUCGGACCUUGCGUUAAUGGAGCGGCCGAUAUCUGAUUAGCUAGUUGGUGAGGUAAAGGCUCACCAAGGCGACGAUCAGUAGCUGGUCUGAGAGGACGACCAGCCACACUGGAACUGAGACACGGUCCAGACUCCUACGGGAGGCAGCAGUGGGGAAUUUUGGACAAUGGGGGCAACCCUGAUCCAGCCAUUCCGCGUGAGUGAAGAAGGCCUUCGGGUUGUAAAGCUCUUUCGCAAGGGAAGAAACGAUACAGUCUAAUAAACUGUGUUAAUGACGGUACCUUGAUAAGAAGCACCGGCUAACUACGUGCCAGCAGCCGCGGUAA